UUAGGAUGAAUGACACCAUCAUCCAAGUCAUUUCUUUUCUCUCUUUUUUUGGUGGGGGUGGGGAGGCAGGGGGAUCCACACAUGACACACAUAUGUAUAUAUAAAGCCACUUGGAUGGUAGGAGUGAGAGGUUGGAAAUUGGUAUCAGUUACUGUAUAAGGUGGGAUCUUCUAGCAAUCGGAUUCUGCUGUUAUUGUCACUUUAAUUGUUGGACAGGGAUGGAAUUUUGGUGGAAAAAAAAGAAAGAUACUGGAAGAGGAUUCAUGUAGAAUAGGGGAGGCAGGGGUCGAUAUUGGGAAAGUACAGGCUUUCUCUUUGUUUUGCAUUCUUGAAUUUAUUGGAAUUGUGUUACUUGAGUUUGAACUGGUGAUGAGAUUCCUGAUUUAGAAAGGUUUUGUAUUCUGCCUUGAAUUAGGUUGGAUAGAAUUAAAUUCUUAUUUUAACACAUUUCGAGCCAUGGAAUGAAGUGGAAUGGGAAACUUAUGUCCAUAUUGUUGUCUUCUUACAUCCAGUCGAAAAAGGCCAAAUUUUUCCGCCCCCCCCCC
rnacentral:lncRNA from 1 species